rnacentral:rRNA from 1 species
GUGCAGCCGCGCGGUAAUACCGGCAGCCCGAGUGAUGGCCGAUAUUCUUGGGACUAAAGCGUCCGUAGCUGGCCGAACAAGUCCGUCGGGAAAUCCACGUGCUUAACGCGUGGGCGACCGGCGGAAACUGUCCGGCUUGGGGCCGGAGGACCCGAGGGGUACGUCCGGGGUAGGAGUGAAAUCCCGUAAUCCUGGACGGACCGCCGGUGGCGAAAGCGCCUCGGGAAGACGGACCCGACAGUGAGGGACGAAAGCUGGGAUCUCGAACCGGAUUAGAAACCCCUGUAGUCC